GCCAAUGCUGCUAGGCGCGGGGCUUCCGCCGCUGCCUGUUCUCCAUCGUCCUUGCGCGGCAGCCGCGGGAUGGACGAGAAAUCUUCCUUUCCAGGGAAUGCGAAUGCGAGUGGCGGCUUCUUCGUCGCCCUUCGAUGGCGACGACGCGAGCGUCCGGAGGAAUGAUGCUGCUGCCACCGGGCCUGGCGCAAAACCGCUGCCACAGCUUAAUGCCGAGGAGGCUGUGCGGAUCCAACUGGAUGCAUUGCUGGAGAACAAUAAUCCUCGCCAAGAUCACGGGCUGGAGGUGAUGUACUUGUUUGCAAAUGCUGAAGGAGAUUUUGAUGGUAGCCUUCCUUGCUACUUUGGAUCCGCGGCUGACCUCUACCACUUUGGCCAUUUCGCGCUCAAGUUCAAGACAAGGCAGAUUUCCGGAGCUCCUCAAGAUGGAAAGCUACGAAAUCGUGAAUGCCAGCGACGGCAAAGUUGUGGCGAGCGUGAGGCAUGGCAAAAGGCUGACUAAGUGGCUGUUCAGGAUGUCCAAGGUCACGAGGGGUGAAAUCAGCUACUGGCUGACAGAUGGUCUUGUCCAACUUACAGAACCACAACAGUAAUCAAACCAGUGCUAAGCUGAAGCGACGUUGGGACAUAAAAGUCCAAGCAUUAUUUCGAUCGCUCUUUCUCGCAGGUAAGGUUUUGGUUUGCCUCACAGCCUGUGUGUGUGGCUGCCAAUCCAAUCCUUUUAACGGCCAGAUAUUAACCUUUGGUGGAGCUUCUUGGAAGUUUGCUGCGGGGUAGCUAAAUAGUCUCGAUUUGACGAGCGAAGCCUGACAAAGGAGGAAGAAUGUUACCUGGUGUCGAGCUUGCGCGUCGAAGGCGGACGAGCAACUAUUCGUGCGUGAGCUCGGAGAGAUCCAGUCGCUCGACUUCCAACAUAGUGGCGACGAGGGACAAGCAGCAGCAGCGGCAGCAGCAGAAGAUUGGAGUCCCCCGCACGUCCUCCGAGAUUGAAGAAGCAGCUGCUAACGCUCUAGCAACACUGCAAGCGCGAUAUCGUUUCCACCCAAGAGACGAGACAUCCAGAACCGCAGCAAACGAAGCUCGGGAGAGGUUGGAAGCCAGGCUCCGAGCACCGGAGUUGAGAAUAACUCGGCAUGGAUCCAACACGGUUCCUACUCCAACACCAACAAAAAAGAAAUUUGGCAGUGGCAAGCUCCAAAUUCUCUCGCACAAGGAUGAGAGGCCGGAUUGCCCGAUUUGCCUGGAAGAAAUUGGGCGGACGAGCCUGCUACUGCCGUGUAGACACGGAUUCCACAAGGAAUGCAUAAAGCCGUGGAUCGAGCGAAGUAAUCACUGUCCUUGUUGCCGCGCGAGUGUUGUGUGAGAUAUUCGAGGAAGGAGAGAAAAAAAAAAUUGGUAAAACGUCGUACUUUAGGUCAACAUGUCCACAUGCCUUGUUGGAGGGAAUAUAAAUUAAGUCCCAGGCUGAUGGCCGCGGCUUACUUACGCUCCUCACGGAGCAACAGACAA